rnacentral:rRNA from 1 species
GAUGAACGCUAGCGAUAGGCCUAACACAUGCAAGUCGAGGGGCAUCACAUGAAGUAGCAAUACGGAUGGUGGCGACCGGCGCACGGGUGAGUAACACGUAUGCAACCUGCCUUCAACAAGGGGAUAACCCGUUGAAAGACGGACUAAUACCCUAUAACACAGGGGUCCCGCAUGGGAAUAUUUGUUAAAGGACAACCGGUUGAAGAUGGGCAUGCGUUCCAUUAGCUAGUUGGCGGGGUAACGGCCCACCAAGGCAACGAUGGAUAGGGGAACUGAGAGGUUUAUCCCCCACCACUGGUACUGAGACACGGACCAGACUCCUACGGGAGGCAGCAGUGAGGAAUAUUGGUCAAUGGGCGAGAGCCUGAACCAGCCAAGUCGCGUGCAGGAAGAAUGUCCUAUGGAUUGUAAACUGCUUUUGCAGGGGAAUAAAGUGAGCCACGUGUGGUUUUUUGUAUGUACUCUGCGAAUAAGGAUCGGCUAA